AGAGUUUGAUCAUGGCUCAGAACGAACGCAGGCGGCGUGCUUAACACAUGCAAGUCGCGUGCGCAGUUGCCGUAGCAAUACGGUGAUGGGCGCACGGCGCACGGGUGCGUAACACGUGGGCAAUCUGCCCUCCGAUGGGGAAUACCCCCGCGAAAGCGGGACUAAUUCCGCAUAACAUUCCCUGGACGAUGGUCUGGGGAUUCAAAGCAGUAAUGCGUCGGAGGAGGAGCCCGCGCCCGAUUAGCUAGUUGGUGAGGUAACGGCUCACCAAGGCAAUGAUCGGUAGCUGGUCUGAGAGGAUGAUCAGCCACACUGGAACUGAGACACGGUCCAGACUCCUACGGGAGGCAGCAGUGGGGAAUCUUGCGCAAUGGGCGAAAGCCUGACGCAGCGACGCCGCGUGGGGGAUGAAGCUUUUCGGAGUGUAAACCCCUUUCGACUGGGACGAAUGCCCGCAAGGGAGUGACGGUACCAGUAGAAGAAGCCCCGGCUAACUACGUGCCAGCAGCCGCGGUAAGACGUAGGGGGCCAGCGUUGUUCGGAAUUACUGGGUGUAAAGGGUUCGUAGGCGGUGCGGCAAGUUGGGAGUGAAAUCUCUGGGCUUAACCCAGAGGCUGCUUCCAAAACUGCUGUGCUUGAGUGUGGGAGAGGCGCGUGGAAUUGCAGGUGUAGCGGUGAAAUGCGUAGAUAUCUGCAGGAACACCCGUGGCGAAAGCGGCGCGCUGGACCACAACUGACGCUGAGGAACGAAAGCUAGGGGAGCAAACAGGAUUAGAUACCCUGGUAGUCCUAGCCCUAAACGAUCAGGACUUGGGGUGCCGCCCGUUCGGGCGUCGUCCCGGAGCUAACGCGUUAAGUCCUGCACCUGGGGGAGUACGGUCGCAGACUGAAACUCAAAGGAAUUGACCGGGGCCCGCACAAGCGGUGGAACAUGUGGUUCAAUUCGACGCUACGCGAGA
rnacentral:rRNA from 1 species